rnacentral:rRNA from 1 species
UACGUAGGGUGCGAGCGUUGCCCGGAUUUAUUGGGCGUAAAGGGCGCGUAGGCGGUGAGACACGUUCGUCGUGAAAUCGCCCGGCUCAACUGGGCGGGGUCAGCGGAUACGGUCUCACUUGAGCAAGCUAGGGGGCAAUGGAAUUCCCGGUGUAGUGGUGGAAUGCGUAGAUAUCGGGAGGAACACCAGUGGCGAAGGCGGUUGCCUGGGGCUUUGCUGACGCUGAUGCGCGAAAGCGUGGGGAGCGAUCCGG